rnacentral:rRNA from 1 species
UACGUAGGUGACCAGCGUUGUCCGGAUUUACUGGGCGUAAAGAGCGCGCAGGCGGUCGUUCAAGUCGAGUGUGAAAGCCCCCGGCUCAACUGGGGAGGGUCACUUGAUACUGAUCGACUCGAAGGCAGGAGAGGGAAGCGGAAUUCAUGGUGUAGCAGUGAAAUGCGUAGAGAUCAUGAGGAAGACCAGUGGCGAAGGCGGGUCUCUGGACAGUUCCUGACACUGAGGCACGAAGGCCAGGGGAGCAAACGGG